rnacentral:lncRNA from 11 species
AAACCUCUUUGGGAUUGAACAGAUGUGUUUGGCCUUUUUGCUAUGGAAAGAUCCACACCACCUCUCAACUCUUGCUGCUAUUUUUACUAGCUCUUCUUCUUCCUCUUCUUCUUCUUCUUCUUCUUCUUCUUCUUCUUCUUCUUCUUCUUCUUUCCUCCUAGUUUUUUUUUAAAAAAUAAUGCUGACACCGAGUGAGCACACAGCUGCUUGUGGGAGAGACAAAGCAACAAGCACUAUUGUUUCCUUCCAACUUCCUCCAUUUCGGCAAGAGAGGGAGUUUGGGAGUCCCAUUGGAAUGCUGCCUGGGAAGAAAAAUCAGAUUUUUCAACACCAGAUCCCAGGAUUACACAGAGUGGAGCUAAAGUGGAUUAAUCACACAACAAUUGACAGCAAGCUGGUAUCCACUGAGAAGAAGAUUUAUCGCACAAGCAAGUACAGGCAGACCCCAUUUCUCUCCAUGGACUCUUCUGCUCUACCUCCCAAUGCCCCUACUCCCAAGGAGCCAGGAGACAUCAUUCUUCACACUUGUAAAACACUUUCCUAACAAAGCGUAAUGGAUGCAAGGGGGAUUAUGUGAUGGACUCCAUUGUACUUCGUUUCCAUAAUGUUUUUAAAGUGUUUAGAAAUUGGGGGGGGGUGCAGGGGGCUGUGUGGGAUAAUGUCCUCUGUCUGCAUUGAGAUCCCUCUCAACCAUUUUAAAUGACAACAGAAUUAAGAUCCAAGACAAAAUAUUGACCUGUGACUUCGGCACCUUCACUUUUCUUUUCUGUGGGUUUUAACAUCUUUGCCUGAUGAAGAACCGAGUGAAGCUUUGACAGCUUGCGUA